rnacentral:rRNA from 1 species
UGGGGAAUAUUGCACAAUGGGCGCAAGCCUGAUGCAGCCAUGCCGCGUGUGUGAAGAAGGCCUUCGGGUUGUAAAGCACUUUCAGCGAGGAGGAAGGUGGUGAGCUUAAUACGCUCAUCAAUUGACGUUACUCGCAGAAGAAGCACCGGCUAACUCCGUGCCAGCAGCCGCGGUAAUACGGAGGGUGCAAGCGUUAAUCGGAAUUACUGGGCGUAAAGCGCACGCAGGCGGUUUGUUAAGUCAGAUGUGAAAUCCCCGGGCUCAACCUGGGAACUGCAUUUGAAACUGGCAAGCUAGAGUCUCGUAGAGGGGGGUAGAAUUCCAGGUGUAGCGGUGAAAUGCGUAGAGAUCUGGAGGAAUACCGGUGGCGAAGGCGGCCCCCUGGACGAAGACUGACGCUCAGGUGCGAAAGCGUGGGGCAGCAAACAGGAUUAGAUACCCUGGUAGUCCACGCUGUAAAACGAUGUCGAUUUUGGAGGUUGUGCCCCUUGAGGCGUGGNUUCCGGAGCUAACGCGUUAAA